AAAAUAUUUAUUGGAUAAACAGUUUUUAUUUCAUGAAACAUUUAAGCUCAUUAGCUCAAUCAUACAUUUGGAAAAUAAGCCCACCUGUCUAGGCAAAGCCUGUCGUUUAACCUUAUCUCUGAAUCGGAAUAGCAGUGCUAAUCCUCCUGUUGCUCAAAGCCUACAAGAAAUCUAUUCUCAAUAGGUCUCCUUGAAUUCUAAUCUUAAGUCAUGGUGAAGUGC
rnacentral:lncRNA from 1 species